GGCAAAUGUAUAUGAGUUUGUAUAUGGGUACUAACCUAAGCUAAUAUUUUCAUUCAUUUAUAUAAAACCUUAUAGCUUCUAAUUUCUAUUCACUACCACAAAAUGUGGAAUAAGCAACACAUAAUACACAACGGUCAAGUUACAUAGGCGAUCUCUAGAAUUCUAUAUAUCGCCUAUGUAAGAUGAGCGUUUUUUAUGUGAAAAUUAUAGAACGCCUCCCUUAGUUAACUGUUCUAUUUGAUAUAUCAAAAUUUUACACUAUGCAAUAUAGAACGCCCCUCUCCAUUAAUCGUUCUAUAUGUGUUUAACAUAAUUAAAAAUAAAUAUAAAAAACAAAAACAAAAACAAAUUAAAAACCUAACCCUAACUCUUUCUCAUUCCUCUCCGGCCGUCCCCUUCACUUCCCUCUCCUCUCAUUUCCCUUCUCGCUCUUCAUUCCCUUCUCUAAGAUCUAAAACUCCUUACCUCACUCCCCUAACUACUCUUACUCCCUCAACCACCAUCAAAAUUAAUCACCACCGUCAUCAUCAUAGAUCGCCACCAACAAGCUGUUGUGCGCAGUACCCACCAACGCUCACCCACUAAAACCCCACUUUUCGCAGCGGCCACCAACGGCCAACAAGCUGCUGUACCCCGUCUUGCUACUUCGUGCUACAUCCCACAACAUCAGCCACCACCCAGAUCGAACACUACACCACAUAAUCGACUUCCCUCAGACCCUCCCUCGCCAUUGCUGCACCGCAUCUCCCUCACACCGAAAGUCGUCUACUACUGUUGUCUAAAUUUUCUAUUAGUGUAUCUUCUUCUCGUAAACCAUUGGAUGAUUUUUGGGUGGUUUCGUUUGCGAAAUUCCGAUCGUGAUUUUUAAGGUGGUUUGAAUGAUGCCCUGGUUCGAUUAAACCAUCGAAUCUCUGUUUUUCUCUGUUUUGAGCAACUUGUUGCGGGUUGACUUGUGUUUGGCGUUGUUGAGCUGGCUAGUGGUUGCAAACGGUGGUGUACUGGCGUUCCUUCUCUUUCCUCUCAAGCUAGCCGUCGUCAUUCAUCAAUUCGUGUUUUUGGUGGUAUUCAUAUGAUGAUUUUUAUCUCUAAUUUCAAUCCAAGUUUUUGAUAUUAUUCUAAUUCAGAUUUCUGAUUUUAAUUUUGAAAUUUGGUUUUCUCAAUUAUUAUUUUAGAUUUCAAUCUGCUAGUCUUAUCAUUUGUUGUUUUAAAUGUUUUUUCACAUAUUAAAGUGGAAAUUUGUUGGACAACCGCAAGCUUGACACAAUCUGCAUUGAUUUUCUUCUCUAAAUCCACAAUUGUUAGCACAUUCAUAAUUGAUUAUUAGUUGUAUUAGAGAACUUGUAAUGUAAUUUUUUUCUCAAUGAAUUCAGUUACUCCAUAAUAUUGUAAUUGAAAUACAUGUAUUUUAAAGUUAUUGUUA